rnacentral:lncRNA from 1 species
GUUAAAUUCUCCAUUCCAUCUAAUAUUAUAUAUAUUGAACAUAUGAUGACAUGAUUCUAUAGGGAAGUAUAUUUUAUCUUUACAAGAUGAAAACAUAAAACUAGAAUGGUUUUGUUGAAGGUAAAAAUCUGCUACCAUAUUAUAUGGCGGAAGGCUACGCAUUCCAAAUUGGCCGGAGUUAAGCCAAACUGUACUACUUAUAUGAUCAAACCCUUAAUGCCACUUGGUCUUGCCAUGUAAUCUUCCUUUUCCCCGCCCUACUUGAUCCUUCUCCAAUGUUUCUACAAACUGAAAGCUUGAUAUCAUUGAUCUGCUCUUCAUUCACAACUCUUUGUGCAUUCUUCUUUUGUUCUUCAAUCCACAUGGACUGAUUAUCUCCCUCCAAUUCCUCCUCUUCUCUCUGUGGAUCAACAAAAUCGAUGAAAACUAUUAAGGGUAUGUUUAAAAUGACUUAUUGGAGUUUAUCUACCGGUAUAAACACUUGUAAAACUGUUUGACAAAACGUCUGGAAACAACAUACGACUCAUAAGUUACUUUCAACUUAUUUUAUAAGCUCUCUGUGAUAGCUUAUGAAAACAACAUAUGAAAAUAGUUUGACUUUAUUUCAUCUUGUUAUAGAAAUAGCUUUUACAUAAGCACUUGCAUAUGAUGUGUACUUAAUUAAGUUGUUUAUCCAAAUAGGGCCCAAGUCUACUAGAUUCAAAAAACACAAAAAAGGAGUUAUUAUGCAAACACAGCAUGUGAAAUGAUAUUAAUAUUAAUUACCGAAAUCUGGUUCAAAUCGAAGAACGGAGUUACACUCUUCUUGGCGGCUUCCUUUCCACUUUGAACCCUAUCUUUGUGGUUGGAGUCAAGCACAGGAGCAGCAGAACUAUGAAAAGAAGCGUCUUUUUUAUUCAAGCUCCUACCGUUCUGGUUCAAGUCAAACACAUGGCUAGUUUUCUGCAGUGUGUCUUCUACAGCUCGUCCAUUGAAAACUCUUUCUUUUGGGUUCAAUUUAGAAGCGGCAUGAGGUCGCAAAGUAGAUUCCUUUCUAUUGUAAUUCCUUCCCUUUGCAAUCUUAGGCUCUUUGAUUUUGAGCUUCUGAGGCUUUAAAACUUCUUGAUUAGGUUGAGGCUUUGGAAGAGGAUGUUUAAGCAAGUACUUGUAACGUUGCCUUAAAAAUCUGUAGAAGAGUGGCACAGAUAUAAGCUCUAUGUGUAAUAUAUAAACUGCAAACUACGAAAAAUAAAAACCAAUAGGAAUCAUGAGACAUUACCGAACUUCAGCCGAUAGUAUCAACUUUUUCUGCUUAACAGCCUCCAAUUUCCUUCUCAUGGCUUCUGUUUCCU